CCUACGGGUGGCAGCAGUGGGGAAUAUUUCACAAUGGGCGAAAGCCUGAUGCAGCAACGCCGCGUGAGCGAUGAAGGCCUUCGGGUUGUAAAGCUCUGUCCUCAAGGAAGAUAAUGACGGUACUAGAGGCGGAAGCCCCGGCUAACUACGUCCCAGCAGCCGCGGAAAUACGUAGGGGGCUAGCUUUAUCCGGAAUUACUGGGCGUAAAGGGUGGGUAGGUGGUUUCUUAAGUCAGAGGUGAAAGGCUGCGGCUCAACCGUAGUAAGCCGUUGAAACUGGGAAACUUGAGUGGAGGAGAGGAGAGUGGAAUUCCUAGUGUAGCGGUGAAAUGCGUAGAUAUUAGGAGGAACACCAGUUGCGAAGGCGGCUCUCUGGACUGUAACUGACACUGAGGCACGAAAGCGUGGGGAGCAAACAGGAUUAGAUACCCUAGUAGUC
rnacentral:rRNA from 1 species